rnacentral:rRNA from 1 species
GUAGUCCUGGCUGUAAACGAUGUCGACUUGGAGGUUGUGCCCUUGAGGCGUGGCUUCCGGAGCUAACGCGUUAAGUCGACCGCCUGGGGAGUACGGCCGCAAGGUUAAAACUCAAAUGAAUUGACGGGGGCCCGCACAAGCGGUGGAGCAUGUGGUUUAAUUCGAUGCAACGCGAAGAACCUUACCUGGUCUUGACAUCCACGGAAGUUUUCAGAGAUGAGAAUGUGCCUUCGGGAACCGUGAGACAGGUGCUGCAUGGCUGUCGUCAGCUCGUGUUGUGAAAUGUUGGGUUAAGUCCCGCAACGAGCGCAACCCUUAUCCUUUGUUGCCAGCGGUCCGGCCGGGAACUCAAAGGAGACUGCCAGUGAUAAACUGGAGGAAGGUGGGGAUGACGUCAAGUCAUCAUGGCCCUUACGACCAGGGCUACACACGUGCUACAAUGGCGCAUACAAAGAGAAGCGACCUCGCGAGAGCAAGCGGACCUCAUAAAGUGCGUCGUAGUCCGGAUUGGAGUCUGCAACUCGACUCCAUGAAGUCGGAAUCGCUAGUAAUCAUGGAUCAGAAUGCCACGGUGAAUACGUUCCCGGGCCUUGUACACACCGCCCGUCACACCAUGGGAGUGGGUUGCAAAAGAAGUAGGUAGCUUAACCUUCGGGAGGGCGCUUACCACUUUGUGAUUCAUGACUGGGGUGAAGUCGUAACAAGGUAACCGUAGGGGAACCUGCGGCUGGAUCACCUCC